GACGAACGCUGGCGGCGUGCUUAACACAUGCCAGUCGAACGGAAAGGCCGCUUUUGGGGGGUACUCGAGUGGCGAACGGGUGAGUAACACGUGAGUAACUUGCCCUUCAGCUUGGGAUAACUUCAGGAAACUGGGGCUAAUACCUGAUAGUAUCUUCUUCUGCCUGGUGGGGGUUGGAAAGUUUCGGCGGUCGGGGAUGGAGUUGUGGCUUAUCAGCUCGUUGGUGGGGUAUUGGCUUACCAAGGCGCUGACGGGUAUCCGGGCUGUGAGGGUGAGAGGGCACACUGGGACUGAGAGACGGCGCAGACUCCUACGGGAGGCGGAGGUGGGGAAAAUUGUAGAAUGGGUGGCGACAGGAUGCAGCAACGCUUCGUGGUGGACGACGGACUUCUGGUGGAAGUAAGCUUUCGCUCAUGACGAAGCAUUGUGUGACGGUAGUGACUGAAGAAGCACCGGCUAACUACGUG
rnacentral:rRNA from 1 species